rnacentral:rRNA from 1 species
UGAAUUGACGGGACCCGCACAAGCGGUGGAUGAUGUGGUUUAAUUCGAUGCAACGCGAAAAACCUUACCCACCUUUGACAUGUACGGAACCCUUUAGAGAUAGAGGGGUGCUCGAAAGAGAGCCGUAACACAGGUGCUGCAUGGCUGUCGUCAGCUCGUGUCGUGAGAUGUUGGGUUAAGUCCCGCAACGAGCGCAACCCUUGUCAUUAGUUGCUACAUUCAGUUGGGCACUCUAAUGAGACUGCCGGUGACAAGCCGGAGGAAGGUGGGGAUGACGUCAAGUCCUCAUGGCCCUUAUAGGUGGGGCUACACACGUCAUACAAUGGCUGGUACAAAGGGUUGCCAACCCGCGAGGGGGAGCCAAUCCCAUAAAGCCAGUCGUAGUCCGGAUCGUAGUCUGCAACUCGACUACGUGAAGUCGGAAUCGCUAGUAAUCGUGGAUCAGAAUGUCACGGUGAAUACGUUCCCGGGUCUU